GUCUAUCAAGUGAAUAACAAAGUGUAGACUGCCUGUCUGUUUCCUAUACAAAACUUAGAUUUCAUUUGCCAUUAUUGUCGGCCUUUCUGCUGAUUUAAUAACUUCUAAGGAGAAGAACUAGGGGUUCUGAUGCAGCCUCACUAUUUAAGAAACUACUUGGAAAGGGAAUUCUCAAGGGCUGAAAGAGCCUUCAGAUGGUCAGAUAAAGUACCUGAUGCUGAAAAACAGGAAAUUGAAUCAUGUCUCCAAAAUUUGCCUUUUGUCAUGCACUGUUACAGCUAUAUUUCUUGCUCUUUAGGCCUUAAUGAUUGACAUGAUCUUGGAAAACAGGUAUGUAGCAAAACUCUCCUAGAAACCUGAAAGAUGUGGCAAGAAGAAAACAUGGAGCCUUUUCUGAACAAGCCUAUGAGAGAAGAAGAAUCACUUCAAUUUAUUAAGUGUGGAUUCUGGGGCUAAAGAACUUACCUACGACCACACAGCCAGCAAAUUACUGACCCAGCAUAUUCUGAACCCAGGUCUUUAUUCUUUCCAAGACUUCACAGCACCUUCCUCAGAGCAUCUCUACAUGAAAAUCUGUAUAAAGAAGUGAUCUGUGGUGUCGCCAUUUGUAUCAAAAUGGUAUCACAAACUUAUUUAAAAGGCUUCAUCUAAAAGUCUUCAGAUAGAGUUUUGGCCAGGGAAGAGCUCUAAUAUCACACAUUAAUAACCUUACCUUUGUAACAUGUAAAUUGUUUUUUGUUUUAACAUCUCAGUUUCAUUAAACUGAGACCAGAAAGAGCCAUCAUCUUUUUACCAAUUUGUAAUCAUUUUAUUGUGUUACGGACCUGCAGCAAUGCUGACUAUAUUUACAAAUCUGUGAGUGAAAUUUUAAAACCAUUUUCCUCUUCUAAUCUCUCCCAUCCUGCCUUCUUAGAAGCACACAAAGCAUCUCAACCACUCCCAAAUUCCCUGUUGGAAUACCCUUAAUGAUUCUGAAAUAUUUUGUUAUUCCCCAAACACCUCCCUAAGACGAAUCACUGGACUCCAGGCUCUUCACAUUGCCAAGUUGAAUCGAGUUCAAAUGUUCUAUCUAACCAAACUCUAACUUACAACAAAGCCACAUAUAGUAGAUGAUGUGUAAGAUAUUCCGAAAAUACCAAGGCAACAGGGAAAAAAAAUCUGUGUCAUCAAGAGGUCCUCCCAGAACUUCUUGUAAUCUAGAAUAAUCAUUUUUGUCAAGCUCCUGUAACCUAAUCAUAGCACACAUGUGUAUAUAUGUAUAACUAAUAACAUAAAUCAACUUUCAUUUUAAUAAUGUAUAGCUUAACUUUUCUCACAUCCAAAACAAUUAGUGUUGCCAAAUUUAAGAUUAUUUCUCUACUUUAGACAUCAGAACAUGCACAAGGACUUGAGGAAUAAACAAAUCCAAGAAAACAAUCUUAGCCUGAUAAAGUAAAAAUUUUGAAUAAAUUCAUAAAUCAUUUAAAACACAAUCUUAUUAAAUUAGCUAUUUCAUAGUAUGUUAUGAAUGUAAAAGCAGAACACAGAAAAGGCAUUUUCCAAAAAGAUAUAGGACUUAGUAGGAUUUCCUUUUAUGUUAAAAAAUGGCCCAUGGAAGAGCAGUUUUCAGAAUGACCAGGGCAUAGUCAGACACCUCUUUCAUUGGAAGCUUCACCAAAGGGCACACUUCUCCUGAACUCAGAGUUUUGAGUCCAGACCCAGCUCUUGCCAAAGUUCACUGGGAGUUUUGCUAAGCUUCAAGAUGAUCCCACCUGAAAGCUCUUUGGAGACAAAGUUAAGGUAAGUUCCCCUUAAUAUUUCCAGAACCAUAUGAACAUAUAAGCAAACUGUGUAAGGCUACGUAGAAAUGAUUGAAUUUUAAUUUUUUCAAACUACAAACACUUUAAAGACAAGGAUUCUCCUCUAUACUUAUUUUGUAGUACUAGCACCAAGAAUAAUGCAUAGUACAUAGUUGAUACUUAAUAAAUUCAAUACUUGUAUGAAUAAACUGAAAAAUUCUCACAAGACCAUUGGGGGCAGUUCUACUAAUCUCCCUGUAGCCCUGCAAUUUUCAAAGGCUUCAUCACGCAAUUCCCCUCACAACUUUUUGGUUCACUAAUCAUAAAGCCACACGGACAGAAAGGAAAGAAAUCCCAGAGACCAAAAAGCCGUUUGUUUUGUCCAUCUGGUUACAUAUUUAUAGCGUUUCAGAGCUAAAAGUGGUAUUAGAAGUUGCCUUUGAACAGUCCCAUUUUACAUGUGAGAAAACUAAAGUCUAAGCUCUUGGGUGAAGUGACUGAGCCUUGAUCACCCAGCUGACAAGCACCAAAGCACUUCCCGAUAUUAUUUCCUCCAUAUUCCUCUGCAGUUAGCCCCCACCAACUCCACCAGAAAGUAUUUGUAGACUUAGGUAUUUCCUUUAAAAGCCUCAGAUGACUUUACUUGGGGUGUGGUGGAAGGGACCACAAUUUUAUUAUAAUUUACCAAUAGCCAGGAGUUUUGUUCCACUAAAACAUAUGUAUUGACUGAUCUGCUGAAUCUUGCUUUGCGGGGAAGGUGUUUUUUUUUGAGCCCAUCUGAAAAUGUUAAAUGUUUCAUUACUCUUAGAUUAUUAAAUGAAUAACUCCAGGGGAAAAAUGUAUCAUUGUUUCUUAUGAGUAUUAAGACAAAGAGGCAAAACUUUCAAUUUGACCACAAGAGGGCAGCUACAACAUUUCCUGCUAGGUCUUUGGGGUUCUGAACUACGAUAAACUGGGCAUUUGGGGACUCAGCUUGCCAUCGACUCCCUAAUAAUACCUUUCAACUGAAUUCCCAAUAUGUCACAAAACAUUCUCUCAUGGUGUUUCCUGGGACGGUUUUUGUUUUGUUUUUAAAGAAAUUAUUUUCCAACUUCUUUCCAGAUCUACAGAGUCCUCUGCUUUAGAACUCUGUGCCAAAGUUACCAUCUACAAAGAUCUUUGGAGACCAAUAAAUUGUUAGGCUAAUUAGAAAACCCACAGAAAAUGUUUUAUUUUAAUUAAGUUUGACCCCAGAUAAAAAUAAAAACAGUAAUGAUUAUCUGAUUCCACCACACUUAAUAAAGCUUGCUCUAAGUGCUUCACGGGAUUUGCCAAAUAUUUGCCUCAUCUCAGCCUUCAUUCGUCAUUCCCAUUUUCAUGAUAUCCUAAAAUCUUUCAAGUCAAAAUUUAUUGUGGAAUUUUAUCACUGAGCUAAACGGUGGGAGGUCUGCAAAUAAAAAAGCAGAGAUUAGUAAUAGCUACAUUCCAUAUUCUUAUAGUUGCACAAAAACAUAAAUUCAAACUUAGUUCAUCUGUUAGGUGCAUAAAGAGUGGGGAGUUAAUUUGAAAAGUAAGUGCUAGAUUUUAUAUGUAUAUAUGUGCAUGCAUCUGUGUGUAGGUGUGGCUGUGUGUAUAUACUCAUUAAUUUUUUUUGUUUUUUCACUAGUAAUUAUAUAUAAGUAGUUUGGAAAUUUACUAUUGAUGUUUGUAGAUUUUGAAGAUGUACAUAGCGAUGUAUUUCCUUCACAUUUACCGUGAAGCCUUUCCCUUAACCAUCUUAUUUAAAAUUGCAACCCCUGUCCCCCCCACCCCCACAUAUCCUGUCCUCAUUCCCUGUUGUAUUUUUUCUCUUAUCAACAUUUGACAUACUUUAUAUUUUACUUGGUUUUUGUUAGUCUCCUUCACAAAU